UCUGCAAAACGUUCUGGUGCUGCUGUGCACUGGUUUGAUCAGAUCUUGGCGAUUUCCUCCUGCGUGCACUCCAUGGCUCUGCUCUUGAGGAUGGAUGAUGCUACCCGGAACUGUGUCUGAUUCAGUGUGCUGAAGGAGGAGAGAAGGGGGAUGCGGAGUUGAUCUUCAAAACUGGCCCGCGUAUUUUGGGUCUGAGCCGUUGGCAGCACUGCUGUGCUGAUUCCCCUUCGUCUAAGCGUUCCUGACCGAUCCGUGCCUUGCCCGGAGCGGAAAGGUAAAGAGAGGUCCUUCCGUUUGUGUCGGAGAUGGCUUCUUUCCUGGGCUGGCUUUCUUUGCGGCGUAGGUACGCCGAACCCUGCCGCUUUCCAGUGCCCUUUUUCAGAAGGUUACGGUAUGUCCAGCGGUUGCCCGGGGCCAUUUGGGGGAAGGGAGCGCUGGGGGAGGGGGAUCUUUGUCUCUUCCCGGGCAGAUUUGAGAUCUUGCGAAAGCACAGCGCUUUUGUUGCAGGAGACUACAGUUUCCCUCAGCCAAAGUUUUAAUUACAUCAGGGGUCAAAGGCUCGCCGUUUUCAGCCCCCCGUUUGAAUGCGGAGGCAAUGGAACGGCUCGCCUUUGAGCGGAGGCAUUCACACUUCCCCGCACAUCUGCCCGCUCCGUGUCACACGCCGCUGCCCACCAUUGUGCUGCGGCCCCACGCUGCGAGCAAUGCGAGCCGGGCCGGGCUGCGCCUCUGCGCCGUGAUAAACCUCGGCGCAGCACAGCGGCAGCUUCGGCCCUGGCCUGCCGAAGUUUGCGUCCUUGUUUGUUGGUUGGCUGGUCGGUUGGUC
rnacentral:lncRNA from 1 species